CCUACGGGAGGCAGCAGUUAAGAAUCUUGCGCAAUGGAGGCAACUCUGACGCAGCGACGCCGCGUGUGCGAUGAAGGCCCUCGGGUUGUAAAGCACAACAAACAGGGAAGAAGAAAGUGACGGUACCUGUCUGAAGCACCGGCUAACUACGUGCCAGCAGCCGCGGUAAU
rnacentral:rRNA from 1 species